rnacentral:rRNA from 1 species
GAUGAACGCUAGCGGCAGGCUUAACACAUGCAAGUCGAGGGGUAUUGGUUUUCGGACCAAGAGACCGGCGCACGGGUGCGUAACGCGUAUGCAAUCUACCUUUUGCAGAGGGAUAGCCCCAGAGAAAUUUGGAUUAAUACCUCAUAGUAUAGUACUUUGGCAUCAAGGAACUAUUAAAGUCACAACGGCAAAAGAUGAGCAUGCGUCCCAUUAGCUAGUUGGUAAGGUAACGGCUUACCAAGGCUACGAUGGGUAGGGGUCCUGAGAGGGAGAUCCCCCACACUGGUACUGAGACACGGACCAGACUCCUACGGGAGGCAGCAGUGAGGAAUAUUGGACAAUGGGCGCAAGCCUGAUCCAGCCAUGCCGCGUGCAGGAUGACGGUCCUAUGGGUUGUAAACUGCUUUAUACAGGAAGAAACACUCCGACGUGUCGGAGCUUGACGGUACUGUAAGAAUAAGAUCGGCUAACUCCGUGCCAGCAGCCGCGGUAAAGU